AUACGGAGGGGGCGAGCGUUAUUCGGAAUCAUUGGGCGUAAAGGGCGCGUAGGCGGCCUGACAAGUCAGGGGUGAAAUCCCUCGGCUCAACCGAGGAACUGCCUCUGAAACUGUCAGGCUUGAGGCCGGGAGAGGGUAGUGGAAUUCCCAGUGUAGCGGUGAAAUGCGUAGAUAUUGGGGGGAACACCAGUGGCGAAGGCGGCUACCUGGACCGGUUCUGACGCUGAGGCGCGAAAGUGUGGGGAGCAAACAGGAUUAGAUACCCUUGUAGUCC
rnacentral:rRNA from 1 species